rnacentral:lncRNA from 1 species
GUCACAAUUAAUUAACAUAAAAGAACUCCAAAUGGAAGCCCUUUUCUAAGGCAAAUCAAGUUUUGUUACACGAGGCACAAUGUGGGACUAAUGUUGCUUGGACAAAAUAAGUUUACCAUAUACAUUGAACCAGAUAACCAAUUUCCCCAAACUUCAAAAACAGGUAGAAUAUUUAGUGUAUGUCGAUCUAAUACAACUAGCUCCAGAGCUGGAUUUUUGGUUAAGAUGUGUAUCACAGUGAUAAGGAUGAGGCCCGGCCC